rnacentral:piRNA from 1 species
UAGAGAGUUAGGGUGGGAGCAUGAGUU